AUGGAAAGCACUGAUCAGAUCAGAACUGCAGUGGAAUCACUUGGCUCCAAGGCUGCAGGCAGCGACGUCAGUACAGCUGCAGAGGAGGGGAGCUUCUUUUUUUUUUUCAUCUCCUUCCUAAAACCUAACAGCUUCUCAGAGCUGCUUGCACAACUUCCCAAUAUGUUUGCUCAUCUGAGCAGUGCUAUGGUGCCCAAACUGAUGCACAGACACUGUUCCAAUGUCUUGCCACACUCUGACACAUGUGCUGCCAUUUGGCCAGCACCAUCCACCCGUGCGAGCUAAUUUAAGGUUGCUAAACAGAAGACACAGAACAUACAUCUUUUAUAUUUGAUCUCGACACUGGUAAGUUCUCUGACUGAUGGUUAAUCUUAACUUGUAAUAGGAUUUGUCCACACUCCCCCAAGUGCAGAACCUUGGUCUGCUAUUAAUUUCUGUGCUCCAGCUUCCUAUCACUUGGAGUGAUACAGGGUUUUGUGGUUGAUGUGGGUUUGAUGUAGGCACUGAUUAGAUAUUUUGAAAAGUUUAUCCAAGGUUUCAAUAGUGCAUUAGUAUGCUAAUAUGGAAUUUGGGCCAUGUUGCUAUUUUCUUGUGCAGGUCAGCAAGCAGACACAAGCCAGGCAGUUGCAGCCCCAGGUUGGUGAGGUCUAUCCCUUCCCACCUCUCCUCUGUACUCUGCUUUGGUCAAAGGGUAAGGUGCCAGGGGUGGUCAGGUUUAGGCACUAACUUGUUUUCAUGGCAGUUCUCCAGGGCUGAACUCCUGUUGUACAUUAACUAACCUGCACUAUGGAAGAAAGGUCACGUAUGCAACUUAAAAGCAAUACACACACAAGAAACCACCAGGUCAUCUGUGCUAUGUGUUUGAGAGCCAGGCUGACCCACUUUUCUGCCUAAGUGUAUUUCUGUGCAAGGCAGGGUCACCCCACGGAGGGAGAUGUUUGUUCCAAUGAUGGCAUUGCUCUACAUGCAGGAGAUGUAUUAGCAAGGUCCACGUUACAGGGCCUGGAUCCCACUGUCCUCUGAUCCUUUGCAAAUUUACUGUGAAGGCAGUUAAUCACAAAUUUAGUGUUGUUUGGUUUGGUUUAGUGUGACAUUCAGGAUUCCUUUACAGGCAACUGUGCAGAGCAGGGAAAUCUAUGUGAAGUGCUUCCUACCGGAGUCACCAUCUGGCCAAUAUUCAUCUUGUUUAGUGAAAUACCAAGAUAUCCAUAGAACGCAGGUGUUAAUGCAGAUCAUAAGGCACAAGUGACCGCAGUAAUAAACCAACAUGCAAUGAAAUGUAAUUAAUGCA
rnacentral:lncRNA from 1 species